rnacentral:pre_miRNA from 2 species
AGAUGAAGGCGAUGUUGGUGAGGUUCAAUCUGAAGAUGGGCGUAUGCGAGAAGCGCAUAGGAAUUCAUUUCAGAUUGAGCCGCGCCAAUAUCACUUUCUUUACA